CCAAGUCGGAUCUCUCAUCUCCUCCGAUAGAGAACUAAUAUAAGUCGCCAAUCUAAACCAUAAGCUGAGCUCAUCAUGGCAUCGAAGACCAUUACCGCCCUGCUCCUUCUCUUCGCUCUCAUAGGCGCGGCGAGUGCCGCAGCUAUACACUCUGCGAAUGAAGGUGACAACGCGUUGGAUAUCGAGUCUCUCACAAGUGAUGAUGACAUGGGGAAUGUAGCUGAGGAAUUUUGCGAAUAUGAAGGCACACUGUGCGAAGAAUGCUUCGAUGACUAUGCAUUUAAUUGUAUGUAAAGAUAGAACGUGGCAUCUUGUGUUGGAGAUUCAAAAGCAAACACUUGCGCACCCGGGACUGAAUGGGCUGAACUCAAUCAUCUGAUAUUGCAAAUCAAUUUCAUAAUUAUUAUUCUUGUCAUGAAUAGAUGACAACUUGUUUGAUUACGUUUAAGUAUAUGAUAUUUUUCACAAUCUCUUAUCUCUCAUAGAUAUUGCC